AACAAACGCUGGCGGCAGGCUUCAUACAUGCAAGUCGAGCGGAAAGGCCCUUCGGGGUACUCGAGCGGCGAACGGGUGAGUAACAGGUGGACAAUCUGCCCUCUGGCGGGGGACAACAGCUGGAAACGGCUGCUAAUACCGCAUGUGGUUGCAUGCCCCAGGGUGUGCAAAGAAAGGCGCGUUUGCGUCACCAGAGGAUGAGUCCGCCCCCCAUUAGCUAGUUGGUGUGAUAACAGCGCACCAAGGCUUCGAUGGGUAGCCGAGCUGAGAGGUUGAUCGGCCACACUGGGACUGAGACACGGCCCAGACACCUACGGGUGGCAGCAGUAGGGGAAUAUUGGACAAUGGGCGAAAGCCUGAUCCAGCCAUGCCGCGUGAGUGACGAAGGUCUUCGGAUUGUAAAACUACUUUUAUGAGGGAAGAACCGCCUGGGAGGAAAAUGCCCUGGGUCUGACGGUA
rnacentral:rRNA from 1 species